CGGGUGCUGGACCUGCCGGCACCACAGACGCGGCUGCCUGCUGCACCUGUGACGCCCGGGCACAGAGGAAGUGGCCAUUUCUACACUCAGUGCUCAGAACCGUGGGCACUGAGAAUGGUUUGUGGCCUGAUAUUC
rfam:Myotis davidii contig91155, whole genome shotgun sequence.